UAUACUUCGCUUGGUUCAGGUGCCAUGCCGCACAACCGUGCGGCAGGUGAAACGGGAAGCCGGUGACCGUACGAUUCCACGAAUCGUGCCAGUCCGGCGCAGCCCCCGCUGCUGUAUGCCCGACGAGUUUGCCUCAUGCCACUGCGUGAUUGACGCGGGAAGGUCGGCAAAGGAGAAGGAAGGCGAGCCAGAAGACCGGCCUGAACCACAGGCAGUGC
rnacentral:ncRNA from 2 species